rnacentral:lncRNA from 1 species
UUGGCUGAGACAAUCUUCGUCGUAAAAAACGCCUUCCGAUCAUUUGGAGGCACGCGAAUAACCUUCGAGUGUGCCGAAAAACGCUGUGAGCAUGCCUUUAUCUACGCUGCACUUUAGUGCAGUCGGCAGGGUUGGUCCGUUUUCAACGCUUGCAGGAGACUCGCAGAAUUGGACAGUCGUAUCCAGUGAAUAUUAAGAAGACGUCGAGAAGCUGGUCUCCGUGCUUGCUGUGUCUCUACACCACGGGUCUAAUGUUGAAUUCCAAUGGCAAAGCCCGAGCAGCCGACGGACUCUGCGAGCGAGCGCGCAACUCUGGAGUAGAGCAUAGCCUCCAGAUUCGUGAUGGGAACACAACACAUGCAACUGGAGCAAGGUGGAAAGGCAACGAUGGCCAGCAGUCCAGCUACUACAGAUUGUGUGAAGAAGCCACGUCGGCGGGCCUGCCACCUAUGUAACAUGUGUGACUAUAAAACUUAUCAUUCCGGUAGGCUGAAGACACAUAUAAUGGUUCACACUGGUGAACGGCCUUAUGAAUGCCACCUGUGCCCGCGGAGCUUCUCACAGUUUGUCUUGUUGAAGAAUCACCUGGUCACUCACACAUCCGAACGGCCAUUUCAGUGCCCUUUAUGCCUUCAGAAGUUCCGGCGCAAAGACAUCCUCAAGAGACACCACCAACGGCGGCAUGAAUGUCAUUGACCAUUUCAGAAGGAGUUCUCCUGUUGGAUCCUUUCUUUUGUUGUUCUUACAGGAAGGAGUCGGUGUCUUCAAAGGACUG